UGAGCAAUUAGGAAGCCAACACAGGUGCUGCAUGGCUGUCGUCAGCUCGUGUCGUGAGAUGUUGGGUUAAGUCCCGUAACCGAGCGCAACCCUUACCUUUAUUUGCCAUCAUUGAGUUGGGCACUCUAAAGGAACCGCUCCGGUUAACGGGGAGGAAGUGGGAUGACGUCAAGUCCUCAUGGCCUUUAUGCCCAGGGCUACACACGUGCUACAAUGGCCAGUACAAAGGGCUGCAAAUCCGUGAGGGUGAGCAAAUCGCAGAAAAUCAUCCGUAGUUCGGAUUGGAGUCUGAAACCCGACUCCAUGAAGGUGGAAUCGCUAGUAAUCGCGCAUCAGCAUGGCGCGGUGAAUACGUUCCCGGGCCUU
rnacentral:rRNA from 1 species